UGAAUAUGAGCCUGAAAUGAGAAGCCCAUCUGCUAAAAUUGGCCACGAAAGAGACAGGGAUGGCCCAAAUUUCAAAAGGAAUUUGGCGCCAAAAUUUCCCGUGGAUUCCUUCAAAUUGAAACACAAACAAACACAGAAAAAUCGAAUCAAAAUCUGUAAAGCAGGGCAUGUCGACGAUCUAUCUUUAUCGUCGUAUGGUGUUACCAGUUCUCUUACCUGUGGAUCUUCAUCGUCACUGAUCUCGUAUCGUCUCUCUCUGUUUCUGAUUUCCUUGUGUCUCUCUGUAAUUUCUGUAAUGGCGGUGGUUUCUAUUUAGGUGAAGAAGCAGCGGAGGAGCGGGAAUGAGUGGAUCUAUCUUCAUCGUCGUAUGGUGUUACCAGUUCUCUUACCUUUGGAUCUUCAUCGUCACUGAUCUCGUUUCGUCUCUCUCUGUUUCUCAUUUCCUUCUGCGUUUCUCUCUGUGACUUCUGUAAUGGCGGUGGUUUCGAUUUAGGUGAAGAAGCAGCAGAGGAGCGGGAAUGAGUGGAUCUAUUCAGCGUGCAACGAGGAACAAUCGAUGCUGAAGGUGUUUUGCUCAAGCACCUAUGGCGAAAGAGAUCUGAGAUACUGGAUGGAAGAAUUGUUGACGAAGAUCAGAUUGCCGGCAGAGCGAGGAGAAAAGGACGCAGUGAUCGGAGUGAGUACCUUGAUUUGGAAGAAGAUCACAGCCAAAGUGGAGGAAACGAACGAGAAAUAGGUCACGAUUUUGUAAAUAGCCAUCAGCUAUUCACGCCUCAAAAUGUAGAACAGGCGUUUCAGCAUUUGAGCUCCAAAGAUGACGUUCGAAUCUCCGAGUUUCCAUUGAAGAUUCAAGCAUGAGAAUGGAGAGUAAAGGCAUCUCGAAAGACCGACAAAAAAUGCAAGAACAAGAACUUGCAUAUUAGUGAAGGUAAGAGGGCCUUCUUCCAAGUAGAGUGAAUACUUAACCGAAGAAGACAACUGCGGAGCCAGAGAUGAAGAAAAUAUGACAACAGAACAGAGGGCAUGGCAUGGACAUCUUCAAGACUAUCAUUUCAAAUGGCAAUGACUUCGAGCUCCAAAGGACGAGCUAUAAGAACACUUUUCAAUUGUAGACAAUAGUAGAAAGGUUGUAAUCACAAAAGAAUUUCCUUCAACUAUACCCCGCCCCGGAGAGAAGCAGUGAUCUCUACAUUUCUACUGAAAGAAUUCAUAGAAGAAAUAUUGGACCUUGGAGGAAGGUGGAUUGUGAGAUCCUAUCGGGUGGGGAGGAGAACGAAAUAUUCUUUACAAAGAUGUGAAAAUCUCUCCCUAGUAGAUGUGCUUUAAAAACUUUGAGGGAGAGCUCGAAAGAGAAGGCCAAA